rnacentral:rRNA from 1 species
GAUGAACGCUGGCGGCGUGCCUAAUACAUGCAAGUCGAGCGAACAGACGAGGAGCUUGCUCCUCUGACGUUAGCGGCGGACGGGUGAGUAACACGUGGAUAACCUACCUAUAAGACUGGGAUAACUUCGGGAAACCGGAGCUAAUACCGGAUAAUAUAUUGAACCGCAUGGUUCAAUAGUGAAAGACGGUUUUGCUGUCACUUAUAGAUGGAUCCGCGCCGCAUUAGCUAGUUGGUAAGGUAACGGCUUACCAAGGCAACGAUGCGUAGCCGACCUGAGAGGGUGAUCGGCCACACUGGAACUGAGACACGGUCCAGACUCCUACGGGAGGCAGCAGUAGGGAAUCUUCCGCAAUGGGCGAAAGCUUGACGGAGCAACGCCGCGUGAGUGAUGAAGGUCUUCGGCUCGUAAAACUCUGUUAUUAGGGAAGAACAAAUGUGUAAGUAACUAUGCACGUCUUGACGGUACCUAAUCAGAAAGCCACGGCUAACUACGU